rnacentral:rRNA from 1 species
AUGGGGGUUAAUGGUACAUUCCCAAAGAAAUCGGCUAAUGGUGCAAGGAAAAUAAAGAAGAGGAAGUCACAGAGGAUGCAAAGGACGGGGAGUGUGCCACGGAGGAAACAAAGGACAAUGAGUUUGCAGCCUAUAAGGGAGCAGUUGUUGGACGUGAUGGUGUGGGAGAUCUUGAUCCGGCUGCCCGUGGAGUCCCUGGUGAGGUUUAAGUUGGUUAGCAAGGCCUGGUGCCACCGCAAUAUGUUGCAGCACUCCACAUGCCUUCCGAUUGGUUUCGGCCUUGAUGUUUCCACUGGAACAUAUAAGGUUGCACGGUCUUUCUACCGUUCCUGUGAUUGCAGUUCUGUUGCAAUGGGAAUGGAGGUCUUCACCAUUAAUGGUAACGAGGGCAACUGGAGGGAAACCUUGCAAGGGUUCCCUAUUCUAUUUCAUAGAUAA